rnacentral:rRNA from 1 species
UAGGGAAUCUUCCGCAAUGGACGCAAGUCUGACGGAGCAACGCCGCGUGAGUGAAGAAGGAUUUCGGUUCGUAAAACUCUGUUGUUAGAGAAGAACAGCGCAUAGAGUAACUGUUAUGCGUGUGACGGUAUCUAACCAGAAAGCCACGGCUAACUACGUGCCAGCAGCCGCGGUAAUACGUAGGUGGCAAGCGUUGUCCGGAUUUAUUGGGCGUAAAGCGCGCGUAGGCGGUUUUUUAAGUCUGAUGUGAAAGCCCACGGCUCAACCGUGGAGGGUCAUUGGAAACUGGAAAACUUGAGUGCAGAAGAGGAAAGUGGAAUUCCAGGUGUAACGGUGAAAUGCGCAGAGAUAUGGAGGAACACCAGUGGCGAAGGCGACUUUCUGGUCUGUAACUGACGCUGAUGUGCGAAAGCGUGGGGAUCAAACAGG